rnacentral:sRNA from 1 species
GCUGGGCGCGGUGGUGUAUGCCUGUAAUCCCAGAGUCUCAGGAGGCUGAGACAAAAGGAUCAUGAGUUCAAAGUCAGCCUCAACAAGGCACUAAGCAACUCAGUGAGACCCUGUCUCUA